AUUGAACGCUGGCGGCAUGCUUUACACAUGCAAGUCGAACGGUAACAGGCCUUCGGGUGCUGACGAGUGGCGAACGGGUGAGUAAUGCAUCGGAACGUACCCAGAGGUGGGGGAUAACGCAGCGAAAGCUGUGCUAAUACCGCAUGUGAUCUGAGGAUGAAAGCGGGGGACCGAGCAGCAAUGAUUGGCCUCGCGCCUUUGGAGCGGCCGAUGUCGGAUUAGCUAGUUGGUGGGGUAAAGGCCUACCAAGGCGACGAUCCGUAGCUGGUCUGAGAGGACGACCAGCCACACUGGGACUGAGACACGGCCCAGACUCCUACGGGAGGCAGCAGUGGGGAAUUUUGGACAAUGGGCGCAAGCCUGAUCCAGCAAUGCCGCGUGCGGGAAGAAGGCCUUCGGGUUGUAAACCGCUUUUGGCAGGAACGAAACGGUGUCCGCUAAUACCGGGCGCUAAUGACGGUACCUGCAGAAUAAGCACCGGCUAACUACGUG
rnacentral:rRNA from 1 species